UACGGAAGGGGCUAGCGUUGUUCGGAAUUACUGGGCGUAAAGCGCACGUAGGCGGCUUUGUAAGUUAGAGGUGAAAGCCCGGAGCUCAACUCCGGAACUGCCUUUAAGACUGCAUCGCUUGAAUCCAGGAGAGGUGAGUGGAAUUCCGAGUGUAGAGGUGAAAUUCGUAGAUAUUCGGAAGAACACCAGUGGCGAAGGCGGCUCACUGGACUGGUAUUGACGCUGAGGUGCGAAAGCGUGGGGAGCAAACAGG
rnacentral:rRNA from 1 species